rnacentral:rRNA from 1 species
CCUACGGGUGGCUGCAGUGAGGAAUAUUGGUCAAUGGUCGCGAGCCUGAACCAGCCAAGUCGCGUGAAGGAUGACUGCCCAACGGGUUGUAAACUUCUUUUGUAAGGGAAUAAAGUGAGGCACGUGUGCCUGUUUGUGUGUACUUUAUGAAUAAGGAUCGGCUAACUCCGUGCCAGCAGCCGCGGUAAUACGGAGGAUCCGAGCGUUAUCCGGAUUUAUUGGGUUUAAAGGGAGCGUAGGUGGGUUGUUAAGUCAGCGGUAAAAAUUCGGGGCUCAACCCCGUCCGGCCGUUGAAACUGGGUGCCUUGAGUUGGCGAGAAGAAGGCGGAAUGCGUGGUGUAGCGGUGAAAUGCAUAGAUAUCACGCAGAACCCCGAUUGCGAAGGCAGCAUUCCGGCGCCCCACUGACGCUGAGGCACGAAAGCGUGGGGAUCGAACAGGAUUAGAUACCCUGGUAGUC